CUUGUGUCUUAUCAUGAACGGGGUAUGAAAAGGAGGUCCUCAGCCCUGGUGAUGGAGGCUGCUGCAACUACCUGUGUCUGUAGUAAGAACUGGAUUGGUAACUACAGGCGUUCACUUAAAGCCUCCUGCAACACCCGGCACUGCAAAGCUGCUGGUUAUAAGCGCAGUGUGUCUGCCUAUAAUUUAUUUUGCGCAGAGGUGCUGAAGGGGAAAGUUGUCUGAUUUUGAGGAUCUGGGGGUGGAGGCUGUUGUCCUCAUCUUGAAGAAAAACCUGGCCAACAGGUGGAGCACCUGGCCAACAGUUUGUCAGUACCCCCCAGACAUGGGGAGGGCCAGCCGGGCCCCAGUGGACCUCCAGUCCCCCCAAGAAGUGGCGAGGGCCAGCCGGGCCCCAGUGGACCUCCAGUCCCCUCCAGAUAUGGCGAGGGCCAGCCGGGUCCCAGUGGACCUCCAGUACCCCUCUGACGUUGCGAGGGCCAGCCGGGCCCCAGUGGACCUCCAGUGCCUCCCAGACGUUGCGAGGAACAGUCUGGCCUCAGCGGACCUCUGGGGCCCCCCAGACCCCUUGUUGCAUCGACACCUGAUCAGCUGACCUUUGUGGUUUCUUCUGGGUAUCCUGCCUUGGAGACUUUUCUGGGGCUGCAUGUCUUGCCUGGACCCACCGGGCACACAGGUCCUGCAGUUGGUGGGUCAUUGGGACCCAUAACUGACACUCUUGCCCAGGCCAUGCUGGUGUCAGAUAUAUCCCCAGACACCCUGGUGACAUUGGACAUCUGCCAACUUUAUGACCAUUUCAAAUAAAACAAAUCUUCCUA